GAAAAGUCUUUGACAAAUAAAUGUUGAAACAUCUUUUAUCAUGUAUUUGGUCUAGUUUUACAAAUAUACGUCAUUAUUAAACUCACUAAAAACACAAAAACAAAUUAGAAUUACCCGUGAGUUUCAUCAUUAAGUUGCUUGUAGCUAAUAAACUUUUAUGAUAAAACCGUAUAGCUACUCAAUCACCAAAUAGAAUUAGUUAUAAACUUCGAUAUUUAGCUAUAAAAUUUAUUUAUUAUCAAUUAUUUUUGUAAAACAUGGUGCCCGAACUCGUAUUUGAUGAUCGGUGUGGCGAUAGACUUGGUGUCCACAACUGCCUUGACAUCACAAAAUUACAUAGAAUAGGGAGAUAAGGGUGUCUUGGUUGCCGAAACCGAGGUUGAAUGAAUCAUUCCACCUGGCAACAGCAAAAGUGGAGCUUGGCACAGGUCAAAGGGGAAAGCAAGGAGGAAUUCCACUUUGGAUUCACAUGUAUAUAUAUGAUACACAGACUCUCUCACUUGUCUCUCUCUAUGAAUCUAUAUUUCAGAGUGAAUAUGAAAGCAAAAAAUCAUAUAUUUAGGUCAUUAGGUGUAUCGUUUGACUUUAAAUCUACUGUAAAUUAUUAA